UGGAGCUCACUUUUCUUGCUGUCCUAAUUUGCUGGGUUUUGUGUAAGGUAUGCCCCAUCAAAAAAAGCUUGUCAUGUGAUCUCCUAAAAACAUCCAAAUUUUUAAUUCAGCUGCAGUUGCUGAGGGCAAAAGUUGUGUGUUAAAUCAUUUGCUGUAGAACUGUGCUUUGUAUAACAUUCUAAUUUAUUUCCAGAGUUGCCGGCCCCCCCCCCCCCAAUGUGUCAUCUUAAAAAGCAAGCGUUCAGUGUCCACUCCGCAUGAUGACAGAAUGGCUCAAAAUGUCGGUAGCGGCUGUCCGCAGUGUCGCCGCCUGGUGGCUGGAAGAGGUAACAGGCUCGUCACCGACGCCUGCGGGCAUGUGAAGUGUCGGUACUGCCUCCUAUCAGAAGAAGAUGGGUGUUGGUCUUGUAAAGCACCACAGGCAGAGGCGGCGGCGGUGGCCGGGCCGUACUGGAGCUGCGAGCAGCUGUGGCCGUCGCGACGUCACGAGGAGGCGGCCGGCGCCGAGCUGGAGCGCAGGCUGGGCCCGCUGCUGGUGCCAGGAUGGCGUG